rnacentral:tRNA from 1 species
ACCUGGCUGGCUCAGUCAGUGGAGUGGGUGACUCUUGAUCUUGAGGUUGUGGGUUCGAGCCCCAUGCUGGGUG